rnacentral:rRNA from 1 species
UGCCCUGCACUCUGGGACAAGCCCUGGAAACGGGGUCUAAUACCGGAUACUGACCCGCUUGGGCAUCCAAGCGGUUCGAAAGCUCCGGCGGUGCAGGAUGAGCCCGCGGCCUAUCAGCUUGUUGGUGAGGUAAUGGCUCACCAAGGCGACGACGGGUAGCCGGCCUGAGAGGGCGACCGGCCACACUGGGACUGAGACACGGCCCAGACUCCUACGGGAGGCAGCAGUGGGGAAUAUUGCACAAUGGGCGAAAGCCUGAUGCAGCGACGCCGCGUGAGGGAUGACGGCCUUCGGGUUGUAAACCUCUUUCAGCAGGGAAGAAGCGAAAGUGACGGUACCUGCAGAAGAAGCGCCGGCUAACUACGUGCCAGCAGCCGCGGUAAUACGUAGGGCGCGAGCGUUGUCCGGAAUUAUUGGGCGUAAAGAGCUCGUAGGCGGCUUGUCACGUCGGUUGUGAAAGCCCGGGGCUUAACCCCGGGUCUGCAGUCGAUACGGGCAGGCUAGAGUUCGGUAGGGGAGAUCGGAAUUCCUGGUGU